rnacentral:rRNA from 1 species
UGGGGGAUAUUGCACAAUGGGCGAAAGCCUGAUGCAGCGACGCCGCGUGGGGGAUGAAGGCCUUCGGGUUGUAAACUUCUUUUGCUCUGAACAAGGCGCACCAUGGGGUGUGUUGAGUGUAGGGGUUGAUUAGCGCCGGCUAACUACGUGCCAGCAGCCGCGGUAAUACGUAGGGCGCGAGCGUUGUCCGGAAUUAUUGGGCGUAAAGGGCUUGUAGGUGGCUGGUUGCGUCUGUCGUGAAAGCUCAUGGCUUAACUGGGGGUUUGCGGUGGGUACGGGCUGGCUUGAGUGCAGUAGGGGAGGCUGGAAUUCCUGGUGUAGCGGUGGAAUGCGCAGAUAUCAGGAGGAAUACCGGUGGCGAAGGCGGGUCUCUGGGCUGUUACUGACACUGAGGAGCGAAAGCAUGGGGAGCGAACAGG